AAAAAGGCCCUUUUCAGGGCCACCAUAUCCGACAUAAUAUAAUAU
rfam:Acyrthosiphon pisum strain LSR1 Contig1026124, whole genome shotgun sequence.